rnacentral:pre_miRNA from 1 species
GCAGUUAGGGCCUGACCCAAAUUGCAGUGAAGGCAAUGGGAGUCUUUCCAUUGACUUCAGUGAGCUUUGGAUCAGGACCUUAGUUUC